ensembl:snoRNA
GGAUCGAUGAUGAGCCUAAGUGUCCGAGGACGGUGACGACACAUGGCAGAUGUACAUCUGAGGUCC